rnacentral:rRNA from 1 species
UACGAAGGGGGCUAGCGUUGCUCGGAAUUACUGGGCGUAAAGCGCACGUAGGCGGCUUUCUAAGUCGGGGGUGAAAUCCUGGAGCUCAACUCCAGAACUGCCUUCGAUACUGGAGAGCUCGAGUCCGGGAGAGGUGAGUGGAACUGCGAGUGUAGAGGUGAAAUUCGUAGAUAUUCGCAAGAACGCCAGUGGCGAAGGCGGCUCACUGGCCCGGUACUGACGCUGAGGUGCGAAAGCGUGGGGAGCAAACAGG